GGGGCAGCGGGGCCACGCCUGCCCGCCGGGGGUCUGCGCUCGGGCUGCGGGGGCGUGAGGGACGGGCGGGGCGGCUGGCCGGGCUCAGGGGCGGCCCCGCAGGCGAUAAAACACUGCUGGGAGCCAGGGGCUUCAGAGAAAAUGGAAACAGAUUUUUCCUCAAACUUGAGAAAAGAGUGGGCUCCACUAAAAUUAUAUCCAUCUUUCUUAUGGCUUCCUGGGAAAUCAUAAGAAUAUUCAGAAAUCCACCCACCCAUCCACUACAGUAUGAAGCUGGGUGAUCUAGCUGAACAUGUCUAUCUGAAAUUCUCAGUAUGAUGCCUAUGAAGAGCCAUGUAGGGGAAACUUUGGAGGUGGGAUUGUUGAAAGAGAUGAAGUAAGAAUGGCUGCGGAAGCAAAGUGCAGAGGUACUAUGUGUUCCUGACUUGCUGGGUAGCUGGUUGCCUGAGGAGUGCUCAUGGAAGAGAUAAUUACUUCAUUUCUCCACCAUGGGUCAGACACUGCUGUUCCCAGAGAAGAAUGUGCCCAAAACAGAAGAGCUGGUCACUUGGGAAGAGCUGCCUUUUGUAG